ACGGAAGGCAGCAGUGAGGAAUAUUGGUCAAUGGACGCAAGUCUGAACCAGCCAUGCCGCGUGCAGGAAUAAGGCCCUAUGGGUCGUAAACUGCUUUUGUGGUGGAGCAAUAAGUCGUACGUGUACGGCGAUGAGAGUACAUCACGAAUAAGCAUCGGCUAACUCCGUGCCAGCAGCCGCGGUAAUACGGAGGAUGCAAGCGUUAUCCGGACUUAUUGGGUUUAAAGGGUGCGUAGGCUGUGGUCCAAGUCAGGGGUGAAAGCCCGGAGCUCAACUCCGGAACUGCCUUUGAUACUGGAUUGCUGGAAUACGGAUGCCGUGGGAGGAAUGAGUAGUGUAGCGGUGAAAUGCAUAGAUAUUACUCAGAACACCGAUUGCGAAGGCAUCUCACGAAUCCGUCAUUGACGCUGAGGCACGAAAGCGUGGGGAUCAAACAGGAUUAGAUACCCUGGUA
rnacentral:rRNA from 1 species